rnacentral:ncRNA from 1 species
AGAUAUGAUUUCUGUCAAGGGCUACUAGAGAAGUAAUUUUCUAGUGAAAAUCCGUCAAAUUCGGGGAAACCUUCAUUUCUAGUUAUAGAAAUAUGGCAAUCCCGAGCCAAGCCUAUUUAUAGGAAGGUGUAGAGACUAGAUGGCGGACAUCCUGAUACUCAGGAUGAAGGGAUAGUCCAGACCACGAACCCGAAAGGGGCGAU